rnacentral:tRNA from 1 species
GGGUAUAUAGCUCAGUGGUAGAGUGUCUGCUUAGCAUGUGUUAGGUCCUGGGUUCAAUCCCUAGUAUCUCCA